UAGAAAUGAAAUGGGCUGUUGCUGGCUUUCUCGCAUGUGCACGCCUGUCAUUUAUUUCUCCUCUGUGCACCCACUGUAGAACUGGAGUUUUUCAGGUCUACGUUUUUUUUACAAUCUCUCAAAUGUGUUUGGAAUGGUCAUAUACAAAAAAUAUAUAUA
rnacentral:misc_RNA from 1 species